rnacentral:rRNA from 1 species
UACGGAGGGAGCUAGCGUUGUUCGGAAUCACUGGGCGUAAAGAGCGCGUAGGCGGUUUAUCAAGUUGGGAGUGAAAUCCCGGGGCUUAACCCCGGAAUUGCUUUCAAAACUGAUAGGCUAGAGAUCGAUAGGGGAUAAUGGAAUUCUUAGUGUAGAGGUGAAAUUCUUAGAUAUUAGGAGGAACACCGGAGGCGAAGGCGAUUAUCUGGGUCGAUACUGACGCUGAGGCGCGAGAGCGUGGGGAGCAAACAGG